UACAGAGGGGGCCAGCGUUAUUCGGAAUUAUUGGGCGUAAAGGGCGCGUAGGCGGCCAUGCGUGUCUUCCGUGAAAUCCCUCGGCUUAACUGAGGACGUGCGGAAGAAACUGCAAGGCUCGAGUCCGGGAGAGGAGGGUGGAAUUCCCAGUGUAGCGGUGAAAUGCGCAGAUAUCAGGAGGAACACCCGGUGGCGAAAGGCGGGUCUCUGG
rnacentral:rRNA from 1 species